GAUCCUGGCUCAGGACGAACGCUGGCGGCGUGCCUAAUACAUGCAAGUAGAACGCUGAAGGAGGAGCUUGCUUCUCCGGAUGAGUUGCGAACGGGUGAGUAACGCGUAGGUAACCUGCCUGGUAGCGGGGGAUAACUAUUGGAAACGAUAGCUAAUACCGCAUAAUAGCAGUUGUUUCAUGACAGCUGUUUAAAAGGUAGCAAUUGCACCACUACCAGAUGGACCUGCGUUGUAUUAG
rnacentral:rRNA from 1 species